GUCCGGGUCGCCAAGUGCUUAAGGCAUCGAUCGGUCUGCAACACCGAUCAUCGUGGGUUAAAAUCCCACCCUGGACU
rnacentral:tRNA from 1 species